AAGAAUCUGGACUCCAACAUUGACUCCUUGAAGAUAAAGCUCACGGAAGAUGACCUGAAAGAAAUUAGCAGCCAGAUACGUGAAGAAGAUGUGGCCGGUGUAAGGAGUUAUACUUCCUUGGCGCAUACCAACUGGAACCAUGCAGACACACCAAAGAAGUAAAACUACAAAAAACGGUGAUAUGUGAGAAUAAAACAGCCAUGCCAUCUACUGUAUCUGCUAUCGUGCUGAAUGGUGCUGCAUGUACCUUGUGAAUCUUCCGUGCUAAAUAAUGUACUGCAAAUAAGAACAUGUGCACUGUCUCCAGGAAUCAUGUAAACUUCUGUCUGCAUGCAUAAAAAGAAGACCGAGACUGUAAGACGUGAUUUGCCGUGCUCGUCCAUCUUGGAUGAAAAUAUCAGAAACAAUUGAUAAAGACUGAACGUCAUAAAUAUGUGUGAAAGGUUGAACGGAUAGAAUAGCACACCUGAAUUUACAGGUGGGGUAGAUUGUUUAAAGUUGCACGGAUAAAAUGGAGGCUUCUGAAUAUAGGGGUGUGGUAGAAUGGCA
rnacentral:lncRNA from 1 species